ensembl:lncRNA
UCUGGGUUUUACUGACCCUCUCCUCUUCACUGAAGACAAGAUCUGGGUUUUACUGACCCUCUCCUCUUCACUGAAGACAAGAUCUGUGUUAUACUGACCCUCUCCUCUUCACUGAAGACAAUAUCUGGGUUUUACUGACCCUCUCCUCAUCUCUGGGUCAGAUCUGGGUUUUACUGACCCUCUCCUCAUCUCUGGGUCAGAUCUGGGUUUUACUGACCCUCUCCUCAUCAACCGGGUCAGAUCUGGGUUUUACUGAACCUCUCCUCUCUCCUCAUCAACCAGGUCAGAUCUGGGUUUUACUGACCCUCUCCUCAUCUCCUCAUCAACCAGGUCAGUUCUGGGUUUUACUGACCCUCUCCUCAUCAACCAGGUCAGUUCUGGGUUUUACUGACCCUCUCCUCAUCAACCAGGUCAGAUCUGGGUUUUACUGACCCUCUCCACUCUCCUCAUCAACCAGGUCAGAUCUGGGUUUUACUGACCCUCUCUUCAUCAACCAGGUCAGUUCUGGGUUUUACUGACCCUCUCCUCUCUCCUCAUCAAACAGGUCAGCUCUUCUGUAGAGUGUAAUCCAGCCAGUCUUCUGUAGAGUGUAACUCAGCCAGUCUUCUGUAGAGUGUAACCCAGCCAGUCUUCUGUAGAGUGUAAUCCAGCCAGUCUUCUGUAGAGUGUAAUCCAGCCAGUCUUCUGUAGAGUGUAAUCCAGCCAGUCUUCUGUAGAG